CCUCACUCUCCCCCUCGUCUCCCUCGCUCGGCUCCCUCUCCUUCCCCAUUUCCCUAGCCCACCGCCGACGCGUCGUCGUCACCACUGCGGCCACCGGCGGCCCCGAACGCCGUGGCCGUGUCCAGGAGGUUCGCUGAGCUCCGCCACCUCGUCUGCGACUCCGAAUCAGAGCCGGGAGCCGCUUCACCCUCGCCUACGUCGUCUUCUUGUUCCUCGGGCCGGCGAGAUCGCCGCGAACGCCCCGUCAACUCCGGCGCCUCCCCGAGCACGCUGAGCUACUGCGCGACCUCGCUACAACGACGUCGACGUAGCUCCCGAGGUCGACGCUGCUCAGGAGCCAGACGACGCAGUUGACGACCUUGCCCUUGCCGUCGAGCAGACAGGCAAGCACCCCCAUUUUGAGCAUUCCGACGACGGAGCCCCUGAGACUGCCGCCCCAGUCGACGACUACGGCUACUACUACUACCCUCCCGACGAGUACUUCUACGAGGAGCCGACGGACGACCAGGAGUAGGAUCGGAGGGUCCAGGGCAGGAGGCCUUCGCCUUUCGAUCGUAGCUUUUAUUUUACCCCGCCUUCUAAAGGCUUAUCUCUCUCUCUAUGUAAUAGUCUGUACUCAGAUUCUGAUGCUUCCGCUGACGCUUGUAUGCCAUCGAGCUUAUGUAUUCGAGCCCUCGAGGCCCUGGCUUGUAAUAUAAAGCUUGUAUGACUUUAUUUAUGUUUUAGAGUUGUGUUGUGAUA